rnacentral:rRNA from 1 species
UACGGAGGGUGCAAGCGUUGUUCGGAAUCACUGGGCGUAAAGCGCGUGUAGGCGGCUAUUUAAGUCUGAUGUGAAAGCCCUGGGCUUAACCCAGGAGGUGCAUUGGAUACUGGGUAGCUCGAGUACCGGAGAGGAGGGUGGAAUUCCUGGUGUAGCGGUGAAAUGCGUAGAUAUCAGGAGGAACACCGGUGGCGAAGGCGUCCCUCUGGCCGGAUACUGACGCUGAGACGCGAAAGCGUGGGGAGCAAACAGG